CUUUAAAUCUAUUGCAUAUGCUUUCAAUGUGACAACGCUCUUAUUGCUGGAUUCAUGAGAAUUAUGAACAUUUUUGGACCAAAGAAUAAGGUCAGGAACAUAAAAUGUUGAUCAUGCA